UGGGAGUCCUCGUGCCAGUCUCCAUAGU
rnacentral:piRNA from 1 species